rnacentral:rRNA from 1 species
UCGGGAAUAUUGGGCAAUGGGCGAAAGCCUGACCCAGCAACGCCGCGUGAAGGAAGAAGGUCUUCGGAUUGUAAACUUUUGUCUUAUGGGAAGAAAAAAAUGACGGUACCAUAGGAGGAAGCCACGGCUAACUACGUGCCAGCAGCCGCGGUAAUACGUAGGUGGCGAGCGUUAUCCGGAAUUACUGGGUGUAAAGGGUGCGUAGGCGGAUAUAUAAGUCAGAUGUGAAAUACCGAAGCUUAACUUCGGGGCUGCAUUUGAAACUGUGUAUCUUGAGUGGAGUAGAGGUAAGCGGAAUUCCCAGUGUAGCGGUAAAAUGCAUAGAUAUUGGGAGGAACACCAGUGGCGAAGGCGGCUUACUGGGCUCUAACUGACGCUGAGGCACGAAAGUGUGGGGAGCAAACA